CCUACGGGAGGCAGCAGUGGGGAAUCUUGCGCAAUGGGCGAGAGCCUGACGCAGCCAUGCCGCGUGAAUGAUGAAGGUCUUAGGAUUGUAAAAUUCUUUCACCGGGGACGAUAAUGACGGUACCCGGAGAAGAAGCCCCGGCUAACUUCGUGCCAGCAGCCGCGGUAAU
rnacentral:rRNA from 1 species